UACGUAGGGGCCUAGCGUUGUCCGGAUUUAUUGGGCGUAAAGAGCUCGUAGGCGGUUCGGCAAGUCAGGUGUGAAAUCUCCGCGCUCAACGCGGAGGAGCCACCUGAUACUGCCGUGACUUGAGUCCGGUAGGGGAGUGCGGAAUUCCUGGUGUAGCGGUGAAAUGCGCAGAUAUCAGGAGGAACACCAAUGGCGAAGGCAGCACUCUGGGCCGGUACUGACGCUGAGGAGCGAAAGCGUGGGGAGCAAACAGGAUUAGAUACCCUGGUAGUCCACGCCGUAAACGUUGGGCACUAGGUGUGGGACCCUAUCGACGGGUUCCGUGCCGUAGCUAACGCAUUAAGUGCCCCGCCUGGGGAGUACGGCCGCAAGGCUAAA
rnacentral:rRNA from 1 species